rnacentral:rRNA from 1 species
AUCGAUGAAGAACGCAGCGAAAUGCGAUAAGUAAUGUGAAUUGCAGAAUUCAGUGAAUCAUCGAAUCUUUGAACGCACCUUGCGCCCUUUGGCUAUUCCUAAGGGCAUGCCUGUUUGAGUAUCAUGAACACCUCAUCUCUCAUGGUUUGCCAUGAUGAGCUUGGACUUUGGGGGUCUUGCUGGCCUAUGGUCGGCUCCUCUCAAAUGAAUCAGCUUUCCAGUGUUUGGUGGCAUCACAGGUGUGAUAAAUAUCUACACUUGCGGUUUCCUGCCAAGUAACCUUUCAGCAAUGGAGGUUCGCUGGGGCUCAUAAACGUCUCUCCUCAGUGGGGACAGCUUUGUGAACGUUUGAUCUCAAAUCAGGUAGGACUACCCGCUGAACUUAAGCAUAUCAGUAAGCGGAGGAAAAGAAACUAACAAGGAUUCCCCUAGUAACUGCGAGUGAAGCGGGAAGAGCUCAAAUUUAAAAUCUGGCGUGCCUCUGGUCGUCCGAGUUGUAGUCUGGAGAAGCGAUUUCUGUGUUGGACCGUGUAUAAGUCUCUUGGAACAGGGCGUCAUAGAGGGUGAGAAUCCCGUCGUUGACACGGACUACCAAUGCUUUGUGAUGCGCUCUCAAAGAGUCGAGUUGUUUGGGAAUGCAGCUCAAAAUGGGUGGUAAAUUCCAUCUAAAGCUAAAUAUAGGCGAGAGACCGAUAGCGAACAAGUACCGUGAGGGAAAGAUGAAAAGCACUUUGGAAAGAGAGUUAAACAGUACGUGAAAUUGCUGAAAGGGAAACGCUAAGAAGUCAGUCACAUCUGCCAGGACUCAGCCUGCUUCUGCUUGGUGUACUUUCUGGUAUGAUGGGCCAACAUCAAUUUCGACCGUUGGAGAAAGGCUUUGGGAAUGUGGCACCUUAGGGUGUGUAUAGCCAUGGUCAUAUACAACGGUUGGGAAUGAGGACCGCAGCACGCCUUCAUGGCCGGGGUUCGCCCACGUACGUGCUUAGGAUGUUGGCAUAAUGGCUUUAAGCGACCCGUCUUGAAACACGG